UUUGUAUAUUCUAGAUAAACUAUUUAUUAUGACAAUGUUUAUCUAUGUGUCUUGACUAAAUCUUGUGCCAGCAGUCGCGGUAAGACAAGAAAGACUAGUGUUAUUCAUCUUUAUUAGGUUUAAAGGAUACCUAGACGGUACAUCUAGCUUGAAAAAGAAAGAGAUGGAACUAGAGUUUUAUUAAGAGAGGGAUGUGGUAUAGUGGGUGUAGUGAUAAUAUAUUUUGAUACCCAAGAGACAGUCCACGGCGAAGGCAUAGCCUCUAUGUAAAAUAAUAGCAAAAUAAUUAUAGAAAAAAAAUAAAUUAUUUUUCUAUUUAUGCUAUUUAACUGACGUUGAGGGAUGAAGGCUCGGUGGCGCGAAAAGGAUUAGAUACCCUUGUAGUCCGAGGAGAGAAUGAUGAGUGUCAUAAAUUAGGUAAAUAUUUAGUUUAUAAAUGAAAAUGUAAGCACUCCACCUCAAGAGUAACAUGGCAACAUGUAAACUGAAAUCAUUAGACCGUUUCUGAAACCAGUAAUGAAGUAUGUUGUUUAAUUCGAUGAUCCGCGAAAAACCUUACCACAACUUGAAUAAUAUAGAUUUUAUAUUACAAGCGUUGCACGGCUGUCUUCAGUUAAUGUCGUGAGAGAUGGUUAGAUCCAGAAAUUAACGUAAACCCCUGUGCUAGUUAUUUAAAUAGUACAUUACUUCUGCCACAAUGGAUGUGAUAAUAGG
rnacentral:rRNA from 1 species